UACGUAGGGGGCAAGCGUUGUCCGGAAUUAUUGGGCGUAAAGAGCGUGUAGGCGGCCAGAUAAGUCCGCUGUGAAAUCUCGAGGCUCAACUUCGAGCUGUCGGUGGAAACUAUCUGGCUAGAGUCCGGAAGAGGAGAAUGGAAUUCCUGGUGUAGCGGUGAAAUGCGCAGAUAUCAGGAAGAACACCCGUGGCGAAGGCGGUUCUCUGGGACGGUACUGACGCUGAGACGCGAAGGCGUGGGGAGCGAACAGG
rnacentral:rRNA from 1 species